GGUUCUAUGGUAUAGUGGUUAUCACUUUGUACUUUUAAUCCAACGACCUUGGUUCAAGUCCCGGUAGAACCU
rnacentral:tRNA from 1 species